rnacentral:rRNA from 1 species
UGGGUUUAAAGCGCGUGUAUGCGGUUUGUUAAGUCAGAUGUGAAAGCCCGCGGCUCAACCUCGGAAGUGCAUUCGAAACUGUCGGGCUUGAGUACGGGAGAGGGAAGUGGAAUUCCUGGUGUAGAGGUGAAAUGCGUAGAUAUCAGGAGGAACACCGGUGGCGAAGGCGGCUUCCUGGACCGAUACUGACGCUGAGACGCGAAAGCGUGGGGAGCAAACAGGAUUAGAUACCCUGGUAGUCCACGCCGUAAACGAUGAGCACUAGGUGUAGGGGGUAUUGACCCCUGCUGUGCCGAAACUAACGGAUUAAGUGCUCCGCCUGGGGAGUACGGUCGCAAGAUUAAAACUCAAAGGAAUUGACGG